UCUUUCCAGUCAUCUGCCUGGUUGGCCUUGGCCUGGUGGUGUUUUUCUUCAGCUUCCUGCUUUCCAUUUUCAGGUCCAAGUACCAUGGGUACCCCUACAGCUUCCUUAUAAAGUGAGGAAGAAACCUGAAGAAGGAGGUCAGAGAAUGGUGAGCAGUCGGUAGUUGAAGAGAAAAGGAGUUGAAGAUACUUGAAGAGGAGGCAGCGUCAAUAUUCAAUCUGGAGUUUCUUUUUUUAGUGUGUUCCUCCUACCAUCACAUCUGCAAGUUGAAAAUAAAAUAAAUUAUUAAUUCUUACACUGGAACAUCAAGGUGUUUGACAUGUCUUUGUAUUUUGUCUUUUUUAUCUUUUAGUUGUUGAAUAUUCUGUGUGAGUAGAUAAUACCUGUGUCUGUGGAAUUCUGUUUGUUAUCCAUAUAUUCAAUGUUAUUUAUAAAAACUGGUUGGAAAGAUGUGAUGAAAGUUGAACCGAGGGACAGAUAAUUAAAGUUCCUUUGAUUAGUUAUUAGAAUGGCUUAUUACCAGUUACAAAGUGACACUCUUUUCAUGGUGCGGCUAGUUUUAAAUUGAUAAAGCUAAAAUAUGAAUGUCAUUUAUCACACAGGUCCAAGCUACUUCUCUAUUACACUGCAUGUUUACACCUUUUGGUCUUAGACUUUUAGGACCUGGACUAAGUUAUUUUCAGCAUAUACUUGUUUUGUAUGAGAGUUCAUUAGGCAUCUAAAUUUGCUUGCAUUUGGGACCGAAUGUCAAAGAAAAUACAUUUUCUCAAAGUUGUGAAUGUUAAACAAAGUCACGGUCUUACUUUUUCUUUGCACUAAAUGAACAUUUACUUUUUCCCCUCACCGAAACUGAUCUUAAAUCCGUUAAUGCAAAAUAGUAGCUCAUGAGCUGAGUUUACAGAAGGCCAAAAGCAAGUGAUGUAACCUUUCUUGCAGAAUGUGAGAAGCAUAGGUCAUUUAGAGAAUACAUACAUUUCUAAUUCUAUCACUUGUGGACUGCCCAUUAAAACACUGAGUGGGCUGGAGCAUUGAAACCAUUUAUGUAACCCUUCUUUGCGUGGGCUGUUGCAGAAAUGUAUCUGCAGAUAGACCAGUUUUGCAAAAUGUAAUAAAAAUAUUCCCUGUCA